UGUAUUAGUCUAUAUUUACAGAAGCUAAAUAAAUUUCUAUUUUUCUUGAUAAAUCGUGAUUUUUAUGUUCACUCAUUUCGGAUAGUAUCAACAAUUUCAUAAAGAAAAUAAGUAAAUUGUGGUGGGGAAAUGAGAAACUUAUCUUAAAAACAUGUAAUCCACGUGGUCGUAUGGGAGCUUUCUAAGCUGCAAACCCACCGUCCAAGACCUAAAUGGAAACCAAGGGGCAAGAGAUCACAAGCCUUAUUCCAAUAACUUGCCGCUUUUGCAUCACACAUCUCCUUGUUUCUGUUUUGGAUUUUCCAAAAUAGAAGCUACUCGAAGCUCCCUUUGCUUUAUUCUCAUCUUCACGAUCGACUUACUAUUUUUUUUUGUAAUAUUUGUUCUAUGGAAUUUUGUUUCUAGGACAAGUAUAUAAAUUGAGAUAUUUGUCGUUUCUCAAAACAACCUGAAACUUUGGUAAACCAAUUUCAUGUCAAAGUAUAUCGAUCUAGCUCUAAAACUUAU